AGUGGAAUUGCUGGGUAUGCGGUAAUUCUGUGUUUAACUUUUUGAGGAGCCACCAAACUUUUUUCUAUAGCAGCUCUACCGUUUAACAUUCCCAUCAACCAU
rnacentral:pre_miRNA from 1 species